UGGUCUAUAAGGGACUGCUGCAGGCAGCAGGCAGGCAGAGAAUUUGAUCAAAAUUAUUUGACUUUUGGGUAAUGUAAUCAAAAUCACUAAAGGAUGUAAGGGGUUUCUGUUGGAACUUAGCUUGGCUGCCCCUGAUUGUGUCUAGUUGUACUAGAUGGAAGUGUAAUUGGGGUACAGUUGUGUAAAAAAGAGUAAUCACAGUGCAAGAAAUGUUAGGCAAAAGAGAAUUUUGUGUGUGCCCACAGGUAAAAGGAAAGGAAAAGGGGAUGC